AACAGAGGGUGCAAACGUUGUUCGGAUUUACUGGGCGUAAAGCGCGUGUAGGCGGCUUGGCAAGUCGGAUGUGAAAGCCCACGGCUCAACCGUGGAAGCGCAUCCGAAACUGCUUCGCUCGAGUCUCGGAGAGGAAGGUGGAAUGCUUGGUGUAGAGGUGAAAUUCGUAGAUAUCAAGCAGAACACCGGUGGCGAAGGCGGGUCUCUGGGCCGAUACUGACGCUGAGGAGCGAAAGCGUGGGGAGCGAACAGG
rnacentral:rRNA from 1 species